rnacentral:rRNA from 1 species
GACGAACGCUGGCGGUGUGCUUAACACAUGCAAGUCGAACGGUGAAGCGCCUUCCUUUUUGGUGGGUGUGGAUGAGUGGCGAACGGGUGAGUAACACGUGAGUAACCUGCCCCCUUCUUCUGGAUAACCGCAUGAAAGUGUGGCUAAUACGGGAUAUUCUGGGUCUGUCGCAUGAUGGGUCUGGGAAAGAUAUUGUUUCGGUGGGGGAUGGGCUCGCGGCCUAUCAGCUUGUUGGUGGGGUGAUGGCCUACCAAGGCGGUGACGGGUAGCCGGCCUGAGAGGGUGGACGGUCACACUGGGACUGCGACACGGCCCAGACUCCUACGGGAGGCAGCAGUGGGGAAUAUUGCACAAUGGGCGCAAGCCUGAUGCAGCGACGCCGCGUGAGGGAUGGAGGCCUUCGGGUUGUGAACCUCUUUCGCCAGUGAAGCAGGCCUGCCUCGUUUGUGGGUGGGUUGACGGUAGCUGGAUAAGAAGCGCCGGCUAACUACGUG